AUGGAUCCCUAUGUAAUUAGCCUAGUUCUUUUAUGUAUCAUUCAUUUCCUUGGUGGGAUGCCUUGGGUAACUUCUCACAGUGGAAAUAGGUUUCUGCUCACUUGUUCACAUUGUUUAACUCUUUAUUGUUUUUUGGAUGACCUGCAACUUUUAUUCCUCAGAGACUGUGAUGUUCCAUGCUUUGCACCUACAGAGCAUCACUGGGAGGACAGGCAUUUAAAAGCACACCUUUGCUGGAAGAAGUCCAGUGUGGGAGCCUCCUCACAGCCUGGAACUCCUGAGACAACUCACUCCAUUCUAAAGAAGACACCUCUCACUGUUGGAACAUUUUCUCUUUAUAGCAAGCCUAAUAUUAUUCCUGUGUGAUCAUAACUAAAAAGUUAAUACUUCACCCAAGAUUUUCCCAAUCUUAGAGCCCAAGUGAUCACCGGAGCCAUUCCAAUACCUCAGGCAAGGUUUGUUCACCAACCCUCCAGGAAAAUGACAACUUGGGCUUCCAUGGAUGGAAAAUAGCUAUUCUUUCUCUUCUUUCUGGUUGAAGAGCUUCUCUGUAGUUCAUAGCCUAAUUGGGUUGUAUUUUAUGUUCAAUUUCAUGCAAUUUUAAGAUCCAGGAUUUAGAGAUAAUCUGUUUCAAUUGAAGCUAAUAAAAGUAAAGUAAUGAUUAGGGUCA
rnacentral:lncRNA from 1 species